rnacentral:rRNA from 1 species
GAUGAACGCUGGCGGCGUGCCUAAUACAUGCAAGUCGAGCGAACAGACGAGGAGCUUGCUCCUCUGACGUUAGCGGCGGACGGGUGAGUAACACGUGGAUAACCUACCUAUAAGACUGGGAUAACUUCGGGAAACCGGAGCUAAUAUCGGAUAAUAUAUUGAACCGCAUGGUUCAAUGGUGAAAGACGGUUUUGCUGUCACUUAUAGAUGGAUCCGCGCCGCAUUAGCUAGUUGGUAAGGUAACGGCUUACCAAGGCAACGAUGCGUAGCCGACCUGAGAGGGUGAUCGGCCACACUGGAACUGAGACACGGUCCAGACUCCUACGGGAGGCAGCAGUAGGGAAUCUUCCGCAAUGGGCGAAAGCCUGACGGAGCAACGCCGCGUGAGUGAUGAAGGUCUUCGGAUCGUAAAACUCUGUUAUUAGGGAAGAACAAAUGUGUAAGUAACUAUGCACGUCUUGACGGUACCGAAUCAGAAAGCCACGGCUAACUACGU